UACGUAGGUGGCAAGCGUUGUCCGGAAUUAUUGGGCGUAAAGCGCGCGCAGGCGGUCCUUUAAGUCUGAUGUGAAAGCCCACGGCUCAACCGUGGAGGGUCAUUGGAAACUGGGGGACUUGAGUGCAGGAGAGAAGAGUGGAAUUCCACGUGUAGCGGUGAAAUGCGUAGAGAUGUGGAGGAACACCAGUGGCGAAGGCGACUCUUUGGCCUGAUAACGUGACGCUGACGGCGCGAAAGCGUGGGGAGCAAACAGG
rnacentral:rRNA from 1 species